AUUGAACGCUGGCGGCAGGCCUAACACAUGCAAGUCGAGCGGAGCGGCGGACGGGUGAGUAAUACCUAGGAAUCUGCCUGGUAGUGGGGGAUAACGUUCGGAAACGGACGCUAAUACCGCAUACUAUCAGAUGAGCCUAGGUCGGAUUAGCUAGUUGGUGGGGUAAUGGCCUACAAAGGCGACGAACCGUAACUGGUCUGAGAGGAUGAGCAGUCACACUGGAACUGUGACACGGUCCAGACUCCGCCGGGAGGCAGCAGUGGGGAAUAUUGGACAAUGGGCGAAAGCCUGAUCCAGCCAUGCCGCGUGUGUGAAGAAGGUCUUCGGAUUGUAAAGCACUUUAAGUUGGGAGGCGUUACCGACAGAAUAAGCACCGGCUAACUCUGUGCCAGCAGCCGCGGUAAUAG
rnacentral:rRNA from 1 species